rnacentral:rRNA from 1 species
CCCUUAGAUGUUCUGGGCCGCACGCGCGCUACAAUGGUCUUCGCAAACGGAUGCAUUCUCGAAGGUGAAUGCCAAUCUUGGAAUCUAUGCCUUGGUCGGGACAGUUGCUUGCAAUUUUUCGACUCGAACCAGGAAUUCCUUGUAAUCGUGAUUCAUCACAUCACGAUGAAUACGUCCCUGCCCUUUGUACACACCGCCCGUCGCUCCUACCGAUCGAAGAGUUAGGUGAAUUGUUUUGAUCGAUAAGAUUUGACUAUGGUCAACUCUCGUUGUGAAAUUCUGUGAAUCUGACUGUUUAGAGGAAGGAAAAGUCGUAACA